AUAUUAGGGGAAGCAGCGAGUGGAGAUUCUCCUGCAGAGAGCCGGAUGAGGGGAGACCUUCACGUCCGGUUCGGAGGGCGGGGAUAUCCCGAAAAAUGAUACCCAAUAACCGUACCCCAUAAAAAAUUAUCGGAUCGGGUACCUAAACCGUUAUGAUUAUCAGAACGGGUACCCUUUCGGAUAAUGAAAACCCUUCAAAAACCAAAGUAUGAGUUACCAUUCAAAGGAAUAGUGCAUUUCCGUUUUUACCCUCAUUCUUUCACAUAAAUUCUGACCCUGCCCUUGUUGUUUGUUGACUACCUUUGACACCUGUCCCGAAUUCCAUCACAAAGUGUCACAACCAUUAUGUCUCUUUCAUUUCAUUUCAUUUUCAUUUUCAUUUCCAUUUCCAAAUCUCUCUCUUCUAUUUCAUUCCAUUAUAUUUCGUUUGGAUGAACUCUCCAUUGAAUUGAAGCAGUUUCUGAGGUCUUUUUUUUCCUUGCAUGUGUACAUCGUUUUCAAUUUUUUUCUAAAUCUCUUCGCCAUUUUACUCUUAUAUUUUUCAUCUGUUAAGUUGAUGAGUUUUUCUGAAUAUCUUUUCUUCAAUCAGAUUACACCACAUUUUACUCUAAUUUCUCUCUUCAGAAAUCAAUUUUUCUGAUAUCUUUUCUUCAGGAGCCGCAGCUAAGAAGGGGAAGCCAACAAAGGUCCCUAACAAGCCAAAGAGGCCUCCAAUUGGCUUCUUUGUUUUCAUGUAUAACUCUAAUAUUCGCUCAUUUUUCGAUAAUUCUGUUGUUUAAUUUUGGAAAUAUGUCAUGUUUGCUUAAUAUUGACUUGUCGAUUGUGAACUAUAGGGAGGAGUUUAGACUGACCUCCAUCGUCGUUGUUAUCAUGUGUGAUAUCAAGCAAGUAAAAUUUUCCACCUUUUUUGUUUGUUGUAAUUUCUUAAUUAUUUAUUUUUGGAUUGAGGGUCUGAUUAAUUGGGCUUUUAUUGUAGGUUGUUUGUGAUACUGAACAACCGAUUAGUUUUUCAUUUCCUUUGAGUAAAAAUAUAAUUUUAACAAGAAUUGAUCAACUAUUGCCUUUUUUUUUUUUUUUUUAAUACGG